rnacentral:misc_RNA from 1 species
UACGGAGGGCGCAAGCGUUGUCCGGAUUUAUUGGGUUUAAAGGGUGCGUAGGCGGGCGAUUAAGUCAGUGGUGAAAGGCUUCGGCUCAACCGGAGAAGCGCCAUUGAUACUGGUUGUCUUGAGUACAGAAGAGGUGGGCGGAAUUUACGAUGUAGCGGUGAAAUGCAUAGAUAUCGUAAAGAACACCGAUAGCGAAGGCAGCUCACUUGUCUGAUACUGACGCUGAUGCACGAAAGCAUGGGUAGCGAACAGG